rnacentral:rRNA from 1 species
GAUGAACGCUGGCGGCGUGCCUAAUACAUGCAAGUCGAGCGAACAGACGAGGAGCUUGCUCCUCUGACGUUAGCGGCGGACGGGUGAGUAACACGUGGAUAACCUACCUAUAAGACUGGGAUAACUUCGGGAAACCGGAGCUAAUACCGGAUAAUAUAUUGAACCGCAUGGUUCAAUAGUGAAAGACGGUUUUGCUGUCACUUAUAGAUGGAUCCGCGCCGCAUUAGCUAGUUGGUAAGGUAACGGCUUACCAAGGCAACGAUGCGUAGCCGACCUGAGAGAGUGAUCGCCCACACUGGAAGUGAGACACGGUCCAGACUCCUACGGGAGGCAGCAGUAGGGAAUCUUCCGCAAUGGGCGAAAGCCUGACGGAGCAACGCCGCGUGAGUGAUGAAGGUCUUCGGAUCGUAAAACUCUGUUAUUAGGGAAGAACAAAUGUGUAAGUAACUAUGCACGUCUUGACGGUACCUAAUCAGAAAGCCACGGCUAACUACGUG